rnacentral:piRNA from 1 species
UUCCAUUUCCCCAUUUUGUUGAGAGACUGC